AGUGGAGCCAAUUCUGCUUUUCAGCUGUCUGGAUGCUAUAGGGAAGAGAGCCACCAGCUUUUAAAAGAAAACAAAGAAGACCGUGAUCCUCGACAAUGUGUACAAGAAUCUAGCCUGUUGCAACCAUCAGUCCACAAACUGGUAACCACUAACCAGCACAGUGAACGUUCAACGCGGGCCUUGCGUUCUCUAUUUCGUCUAACCCUUGCGAAAUUCUGUGUGAGAGCAGUCUACACUUCUAAAAGAGGCGGCAAGACAUUAAGGUGCAAGUAAUCACCGAGAACUACAAUCAACUGAUCAAGUUCACUCAGAAUUGUGCUAUUAUGAAGCUGCCAUCAAAAUGUAAUUAUAAAGGAAAAAUGUAAGUUAAAAGAACAAGUUAAAAUAGUAAAAAUUCUGUUACCUUCCUAAGCCUAAAA